GAUGAACGCUGGCGGCGUGCCUAAUACAUGCAAGUCGAGCGAACGGACGAGAAGCUUGCUUUUGUGAUGUUAGCGGCGGACGGGGGAGUAACACGUGGAUAACCUCCCUAUAAGACUGGGAUACCUUCGGGAAACCGGAGCUAAUACCGGAUAAUAUUCUGCACCGCAUGGCUCAAAAGUGAAAUACGGUCUUGCUGUCACUAAUAGAUGGAGCCGCGCUGCCUUGGCUAGUUGGUAAUGGAACGGCUUACCCAGGCCACGAGGCAAAGCCGACCCGAGCGGGAGAUCGGCCAGCCGGGCAGUGAGACGGGGUCGAGACUUCUGCGGGGGGCCGCAGUCGGGACUCCUCCGCGAUGGGGGAGUGGGUGACGGUGCACCGCGGCGUGAGUGAUGAUGGUCUUCGGAUCGUAGAGCGAUGUUAUUAGGGAAGAAGAUAUGUGUAGGUAACUGUGAACAUCUUGACGGUACCAAAUCAGAAAGCCCCGGCUAACUACGUG
rnacentral:rRNA from 1 species